CAAAAAAGUUAAAAGAUUUAAAAACAAAUAAAAAAAAUUACACAAUUAUGGCAAAAAAGCGAAAUUUUCGUUUAAUGUAAACAACAACGCCAUUUUAGGCAAUAAUUGACACAGAGAUUUUUGAAUUUGGAAUAAAAAUGUCAACGCAGGAAAUGCAGCAACAGCAGACAGCAUUAGCCACAACAACUUUAAGCAGCAAUAAAAAUAAUGCAGCAAUUUCAAAGGGUCAACAAAUCUCAUACAAUCAUCAAGAGAAAACCCUAAAAGUU